GGCGGACGGGUGAGUAAUGCCUAGGAAAUUGCCUUGAUGUGGGGGAUAACCAUUGGAAACGAUGGCUAAUACCGCAUAAUGCCUACGGGCCAAAGAGGGGGAUCUUCGGACCUCUCGCGUCAAGAUAUGCCUAGGUGGGAUUAGCUAGUUGGUGAGGUAAUGGCUCACCAAGGCGACGAUCCCUAGCUGGUCUGAGAGGAUGAUCAGCCACACUGGAACUGAGACACGGUCCAGACUCCUACGGGAGGCAGCAGUGGGGAAUAUUGCACAAUGGGCGAAAGCCUGAUGCAGCCAUGCCGCGUGUAUGAAGAAGGCCUUCGGGUUGUAAAGUACUUUCAGUUGUGAGGAAGGGUGUGUAGUUAAUAGCUGCNUAUCUUGACGUUAGCAACAGAAGAAGCACCGGCUAACUCCGUGCCAGCAGCCGCGGUAAUACGGAGGGUGCGAGCGUUAAUCGGAAUUACUGGGCGUAAAGCGCAUGCAGGUGGUUCAUUAAGUCAGAUGUGAAAGCCCGGGGCUCAACCUCGGAACUGCAUUUGAAACUGGUGAACUAGAGUGCUGUAGAGGGGGGUAGAAUUUCAGGUGUAGCGGUGAAAUGCGUAGAGAUCUGAAGGAAUACCAGUGGCGAANGCNGGCCCCCUNNNCAGACACUGACACUCAGAUGCGAAAGCGUGGGGAGCAAACAGGAUUAGAUNNCCNGGNAGUCCACGCCGUAAACGAUGUCUACUU
rnacentral:rRNA from 1 species